AACGAACGCUGGCGGCAUGCCUAACACAUGCAAGUCGAACGCUCACCUUCGGGUGGGAGUGGCGCACGGGUGCGUAACGCGUGGGAAUCUGCCCUUGGGUUCGGGAUAACAGUUGGAAACGACUGCUGAUACCGGAUGAUGACUUCGGUCCAAAGAUUUAUCGCCCAGGGAUGAGCCCGCGUAGGAUUAGCUUGUUGGUGAGGUAAGAGCUCACCAAGGCGACGAUCCUUAGCUGGUCUGAGAGGAUGAUCAGCCACACUGGGACUGAGACACGGCCCAGACUCCUACGGGAGGCAGCAGUGGGGAAUAUUGGACAAUGGGCGAAAGCCUGAUCCAGCAAUGCCGCGUGAGUGAUGAAGGCCUUAGGGUUGUAAAGCUCUUUUACCCGGGAUGAUAAUGACAGUACCGGGAGAAUAAGCCCCGGCUAACUCCGUGCCAGCCGCCGCCGUAAAAC
rnacentral:rRNA from 1 species